GCCUAGAUAGCUCAGUUGGAUAGACUGUGGUGCUGAUAACGCCAAGGUUGCAGGUUUGAUCCCCAUUUGAGACA